rnacentral:rRNA from 1 species
CAGGGAAUAUUGGUAAUGGGCGAAAGUCUGAACCAGCAACGCCGCGUGUGCGAUGAAGGCCUUCGGGUCGUAAAGCACUUUUUGGAGGGAUGAGGAAGGACAGUACCUCCAGAAUAAGCCUCGGCUAACUACGUGCCAGCAGCCGCGGUAACACGUAGGAGGCAAGCGUUAUUCGGAUUUACUGGGCGUAAAGCGCGUGCAGGCGGUUCGGAAAGUUGGAUGUGAAAGCUCCUGGCUUAACUGGGAGAGGUCGUUCAAUACUUCCGGACUUGAGAGUGGGAGAGGGAGGUGGAAUUCCGGGUGUAGUGGUGAAAUGCGUAGAUAUCCGGAGGAACACCAGUGGCGAAAGCGGCCUCCUGGCCCAUUUCUGACGCUCAGACGCGAAAGCUAGGGUAGCAAACG